UACAGAGGGGGCAAGCGUUGUCCGGAUUUACUGGGCGUAAAGCGCGCGCAGGCGGCGAUCUACGUCUGGGGUGAAAGCCCGGAGCUCAACUCCGGGACUGCCUUGGAUACGGGAUCGCUUGAGGAUUGGAGAGGCAAGGGGAAUUCCACGUGUAGCGGUGAAAUGCGUAGAGAUGUGGAGGAACACCUGUGGCGAAGGCGCCUUGCCGGCCAAUUACUGACGCUGAGGCGCGAAAGCGUGGGGAGCAAACAGG
rnacentral:rRNA from 1 species